GAAAGAGUCUAAUGAGGUG
rnacentral:misc_RNA from 1 species